GUGCCUCUCGAAAAUAGUAAAUAUAUUAGCGUUCGAACUUGUGAUCUACAAUACAUGCUGAUUUGUUGUGUAAAGAUAAGAUCUUGUGCAUUGAUAAUAUGAAGGCCAGGUUUUCAAAUGCCAGCUAUAAAUAGCCGCACAUUAUGAAGACAAUGCAUAUGCUCUGAGUCUGAUCCUGUUUUAAGUUUCUCCUACCAUCAAUCUGUAAACAUGAAGAGCCUAUUCCUUGUUUGUCUAUUAGCACUCACUUACGGAGCUUUUGCAUUCAUCAUAGAUCCAAGAGCCGAUUAUGUGGUCUGUGAAAUGUCUUGCGGAGCCAGCAAUCAAGCGUGCAUCGAUUCCUGCAUUCACGGCAAACGAAACUCUGGCGACGUCUACAAAAGGGUGGACUUUGUUAUUUGUGAGAUGGUAAUUUGCCCCAAUGACAACGGACCAAAUUCUCAAUGCAUGAACCAAUGCCUUCACGGAAAAUAAAUGGUCUAUGAAUGUAUUAUAAUAUAAAAGUAAAAUUGAGCCAUUUGGCUUUCCGUAAUGGUAGACGGAAAUAAUCCCUGUGAGGAUUACAAAAUAAAGUUUUGUACACAAUCUA
rnacentral:sRNA from 1 species